rnacentral:tRNA from 1 species
UUAGCUCAGCUGGAUAGAGCAACGCCCUUCUAAGGCGUGGGCCAGGGGUUCGAAUCCCUUAAAACGCACCA